UACAGAGGUCUCAAGCGUUGUUCGGAUUCAUUGGGCGUAAAGGGCGCGUAGGCUGCGGGGCAAGUCGGGUGUGAAAUCUCAGAGCUCAACUCUGAAACUGCACUCGAUACUGCUUUGCUCGAGGACUGGAGAGGAGAUUGGAAUUCACGGUGUAGCAGUGAAAUGCGUAGAUAUCGAGAGGAACACCUGCGGCGAAGGCGGGUUGCUGGGCUGACACUGACGCUGAAGCGCGAAAGCUAGGGGAGCGAACGGG
rnacentral:rRNA from 1 species